rnacentral:rRNA from 1 species
UACGUGGUGGCAAGCGUUGUUCGGAAUUACUGGGCAUAAAGGGUGCGUAGGUGGCUUGUUAAGUCAGGGGUGAAAGUUUUCGGCCCAACCGGAAAAUGGCCUUUGAUACUGGCGAGCUCGAGUGCGUGAGGGGUAACCGGAACGAGCAGUGUAGCGGUGAAAUGCGUAGAUAUUGCUCGGAAGGCCAACGGCGAAGGCAGGUUACUGGUGCGCAACUGACACUGAGGCACGAAAGCGUGGGGAGCAAACAGG